rnacentral:lncRNA from 1 species
CUCUUAUCUUUUUCGCCCUUCUCUAUCUCUGACGGCGUUCUACCAAAGCUCUGUCUCUAAGGCUCCUCUGAAUCUCCCAUCUUUGAAGUUCUCAUCUCUGUGAGCUAGGUUAUUCGUUGCUGUUCCAAUUAUUGAAAUUUUUGGAUUCGAUACAGCUCGAUUGAUCAAAGCACCAACCAUCGCAUUCUUUGCUCUGUUAAAGGGUUAAGCAACAGGUUUCUGUUUGGGAUUUCACUCUCUGAUAGGCCUGUGUGGCAACAAUUCAUUAUUUGCUCUUCUGGGUUGUUCUUUGGCUACCUUGUCAAUUGUGUCUGUGAGGAGGAGAAAUUGGAUUGGAAUAAUGAAAGUAAAGGCAGCAAAUUAAAAAUAGAGAAACAAAAAAGAAUAGUCUACUUAAUUGCGAGGUGUUAAGGGGUUUUGUUCUAUAGGACUUUCAGAUUAGGUGGCUUUCUAUUGGACUUCUUAUUUGCUCAUAAAAAGUGCUGCGCAAAACAGUGGAUUGCUAUCUUACACAUUUUUGAAGACCACAGGAAAGAAGACAUUUAUUUUUGAUUUUGAAUUGUUGAGAGCACAAGGAUCGCUAAGUUGGUUUUGUUAUUGGUUUUAGACUAUUUUUGUUACUCCUUAGGUUAGGAAACACUUUGAUUGUUACUUUGGUUUUAUUAUUAUGAGAUUUAUUAUU